rnacentral:misc_RNA from 1 species
GAAAAGUAAUAAAGAAAAUAUUAUAUAUAGGAUAAUAAUCCAAUAAUUUUUUCUAAUAAAUAUAUAAUUAUCUUUUAUUUUGACUCAAGAACUUGAGAUUACAAUCAGCAAGUUUUCUUAUUCAGGAAAUCAACAUUCAGUUGCUUAUUAGUUAAUUCAAUCACCACAAUCCACAAAUUGAUAGUUCACAAUAAGGUGGCCUUGAGCAUAGCCUUUUCCAUCGGUGUCUAUCUGCCGGAAAACACCUUCGUCCAAGUCCAACCCUCCAUUGCUGCACUGAUCAACAAUUCUCACCGUCACUGUAGCUCCUGUUCCAGUAUUGGUCACACUUAAGCACUUGCCGCAAGCAGCUUGUCCUUGAGGUCCGGCUGGUCCACAGAAGGCCGUCCAUCCAUACUUCUUGCGCCAUUCGAGAGGCUUGCUUGCAUCCCAUGUUGCGCAGUAAACACUUGCAGCAUUCAAGUCCCAUCCUUUUUGUUCAGGAUUGUAGAAAUUAUAGGUUGCUCUCACAUUGGAAGCACUUUGGGAAUUGGCUUUAGCUAUGAGAAAGACUAAGAAAGCCAUGCACAAGGUUACACUUAUCUUCCCCAUGGUUUAUCUGGUUUUGUUUUUGUC